AGUGAACGCUGGCGGUAGGCCUAACACAUGCAAGUCGAACGGCAGCACAGGAGAGCUUGCUCUCUGGGUGGCGAGUGGCGGACGGGUGAGGAAUACAUCGGAAUCUACUUUUUCGUGGCGGAUAACGUAGGGAAACUUACGCUAAUACCGCAUACGACCUACGGGUGAAAGCAGGGGAUCUUCGGACCUUGCGCGAUUGAAUGAGCCGAUGUCGGAUUAGCUAGUUGGCGGGGUAAAGGCCCACCAAGGCGACGAUCCGUAGCUGGUCUGAGAGGAUGAUCAGCCACACUUGAACUGAGACACGGUCCAGACUCCUACGGGAGGCAGCAGUGGGGAAUAUUGGACAAUGGGCGCAAGCCUGAUCCAGCCAUACCGCGUGGGUGAAGAAGGCCUUCGGGUUGUAAAGCCCUUUUGUUGGGAAAGAAAUCCAGCUGGUUAAUACCCGGUUGGGAUAACGGUACCCAAAGAAUAAGCACCGGCUAACUUCGUGCCAGCCGCCGCGGUAA
rnacentral:rRNA from 1 species